rnacentral:lncRNA from 1 species
CAAUCCAAUUUGCUAUUCGCAAGCUAGUUCAUAUCCAGUUUGAAAUGAGCUCAAGACCGAAUCGCGUACUGAACACAAAUUGAAAAUUUCAACCUAUUUAUUAAACAAGCCGAACACAAUCUGAUGUCACCUCACUUAUAUUCGGCUCGAUAACAGCUCAAAUAUAUAUAUAUAUACAUAUAUAUAUCUAUACAUAGAGAGAGAGAGAAAGAGAGAGAGAGGGAAAGAGAGAGAGUAGAGCCACUAUGCUAUCAGAAGUAUAGAGAAUCUGAUGCUUUCGACUUUUUAACCCCACCCUUAAAUCAAUCCCUUUAAUCAUUUCUAAUCUUUUGAUUAAUACUAUUACUCUGCAGGGGCCACUCAAUCCUAGGAAUACUAAUCAACCCUAGUUGGGACUGCAAUCAUCCCAACAGCAUAAUUCUUGAUCCAAGGAUCAAAAAAUUGGAAGCAUCAAAUUCUUUAUGCUUCCGAUAGCAUAAUAGCUCUACACUGAGCUAGGCUGGUAUAUUAUCGGUAGCACGGAGGCUUUCGUGCUAUCAAGUUGUUUUCAAUGAUGUGGCUUCUAAAUCGACGAUCGGCUCCGUUAGACUUGAUCUACGCUACUAAAAGUAUUUGAACACUAAAUUUCAUAAUUUUUCGACAUUAUUUACCUAUCAAACAAGUAGUCUAAAAAUUAACAGCUGAAAAUAAAAAUCUUAUAAAAAAUGACGAUAAAAGACUUGAAUUUAAGAUCAGAUGUACCGAUCUUACUCUAAAUAGUGAAACAAAAUUUAUAUAAAAAUUUCAUUAUAUUUGAAUUGUUUGACACCAUUAAAUUUACAAACAUAUCACAUCAAUUAUUAAAAUUGUCAAUUUUGAGACAUUUGAGCACUAGCCAAAUAAUGUAAAAAAAUUAUAAAAUUUAGUUUCCAAAUACUUUUAAUAAUGUAAAUCAUGUCUAAUGGAGCCGAUCGUCGAUUUGAAAGUCGUAUCAUCAAAAAUAAUUUGGUAGCAUGGAGACCUCCGUACUAUCGAUAGAAUACCAGUCUAGCUAUAUAUAUAUAUAUAUAUAUAUAUAUAUAUAUAUAAAGAGAGAGAGAGAGAGAGAAUUAGGCUGGAAUACUAUUAAUAGCGCCAAUGACUCGGUGCUAUUAAGUUUUCUGCCCUUGGAUUAAAAGAUGUGCAGUUAAAAUGAUGUGGGCCCUCUAGAGUUGAGUGAUUGGUUAGUUGAAUAGUAUAAUCGAACGGAUGAAAAUGAUAAAAGAGAUAAACCUAACGGCAGAAAACUUGAUAGCACCAAAAUCCUUCGUGCUAUCAAUAGUAUCCCAGCCGGACUCUCUCUCUUUCUCUCUCUCUCUCUCUCUAUCUCUCUCUCUCUAUAUAUAUAUAUAUAUAUAAUCGAACUCAAUUGUAAUAGGCAUAUUUAUAUAUAAGAUUUCAACCAGAUCAAAAUUUAAUGGGUAAAAUUUUUUAUAUUUAUUAUAUAUAUAUAUAUAUAUAUUCUUUUAAUACUCUUAACUUGUUACUCGUGAGCUAGCUAAUGUUCACUCGUUAAUAAACGAUCCGAAUACGAGUUGAAUUUUUUUAGCUAGAUGAAACGAACCAAAC